rnacentral:snRNA from 1 species
GCUUCUCGGCCUUUGGGCUGAGAUCAGGUGUAGUAUCUGUUCUUAUCAGUUUAAAAUC